rnacentral:tRNA from 1 species
AGGGUUAUAUUUAAUAAUAAUAUUUGAUUUGCAAUCAAAAGGUAUCUCUUUAGAUUAAUCUUA